rnacentral:rRNA from 1 species
UGGACUGCCUUUUGCAUAAUGAGCCUGCGAGUUGUGGUGUCUGGCAAGGUUAAGCAAACGCGAAGCCGUAGCGAAAGCGAGUCUGAAUAGGGCGCUUAGUCAGAUGCUGCAGACCCGAAACGAAGUGAUCUAUCCAUGAGCAAGUUGAAGCUAGUGUAAGAACUAGUGGAGGACUGAACCCAUAGGCGUUGAAAAGCCCCGGGAUGACUUGUGGAUAGGGGUGAAAGGCCAAUCAAACUUCGUGAUAGCUGGUUCUCUCCGAAAUAUAUUUAGGUAUAGCGUUGUGUCGUAAUAUAAGGGGGUAGAGCACUGAAUGGGCUAGGGCAUACACCAAUGUACCAAACCCUAUCAAACUCCGAAUACCUUAUAUGUAAUCACAGCAGUCAGGCGGCGAGUGAUAAAAUCCGUCGUCAAGAGGGAAACAACCCAGACUACCAGCUAAGGUCCCUAAAUCUUACUUAAGUGGAAAACGAUGUGAAGUUACUUAAACAACCAGGAGGUUGGCUUAGAAGCAGCCAUCCUUUAAAGAAAGCGUAAUAGCUCACUGGUCUAGUGAUUUUGCGCGGAAAAUAUAACGGGGCUAAAGUAAGUACCGAAGCUGUAGACUUGCGCACAACUUAGAUUAUUUAAGUUUAGAAUAUGAGAAACUAAGUUAUGUUUAGUUAUAUUUUUACUGAUUUUUAUAGAGUAAAGAUAGAAAUAAAACUUAGUAAAAUCAGUAAAAAUAUUCUUAGGCUAAAGUUAAGUAGUUUAAGUUGUGUGCAAGUGGUAGGAGAGCGUUCUAUUUGCGUCGAAGGUAUACCGGUAAGGAGUGCUGGAGCGAAUAGAAGUGAGCAUGCAGGCAUGAGUAGCGAUAAUUAAUGUGAGAAUCAUUAACGCCGUAAACCCAAGGUUUCCUACGCGAUGCUCGUCAUCGUAGGGUUAGUCGGGUCCUAAGUCGAGUCCGAAAGGGGUAGACGAUGGCAAAUUGGUUAAUAUUCCAAUACCAACAUUAGUGUGCGAUGGAAGGACGCUUAGGGCUAAGGGGGCUAGCGGAUGGAAGUGCUAGUCUAAGGUCGUAGGAGGUUAUACAGGCAAAUCCGUAUAACAAUACUCCGAGAACUGAAAGGCUUUUUGAAGUCUUCGGAUGGAUAGAAGAACCCCUGAUGCCGUCGAGCCAAGAAAAGUUUCUAAGUUUAGCUAAUGUUGCCCGUACCGUAAACCGACACAGGUGGGUGGGAUGAGUAUUCUAAGGCGCGUGGAAGAACUCUCUUUAAGGAACUCUGCAAAAUAGCACCGUAUCUUCGGUAUAAGGUGUGGUUAGCUUUGUAUUAGGAUUUACUCCGAAAGCAAGGAAACUUACAACAAAGAGUCCCUCCCGACUGUUUACCAAAAACACAGCACUCUGCUAACUCGUAAGAGGAUGUAUAGGGUGUGACGCCUGCCCGGUGCUCGAAGGUUAAUUGAUGGGGUUAGCAUUAGCGAAGCUCUUGAUCGAAGCCCGAGUAAACGGCGGCCGUAACUAUAACGGUCCUAAGGUAGCGAAAUUCCUUGUCGGUUAAAUACCGACCUGCAUGAAUGGCGUAACGAGAUGGGAGCUGUCUCAAAGAGGGAUCCAGUGAAAUUGUAGUGGAGGUGAAAAUUCCUCCUACCCGCGGCAAGACGGAAAGACCCCGUGGACCUUUACUACAGCUUGACACUGCUACUUGGAUAAGAAUGUGCAGGAUAGGUGGGAGGCUUUGAGUAUAUGACGCCAGUUGUAUAUGAGCCAUUGUUGAGAUACCACUCUUUCUUAUUUGGGUAGCUAACCAGCUUGAGUUAUCCUCAAGUGGGACAAUGUCUGGUGGGUAGUUUGACUGGGGCGGUCGCCUCCCAAAUAAUAACGGAGGCUUACAAAGGUUGGCUCAGAACGGUUGGAAAUCGUUCGUAGAGUAUAAAGGUAUAAGCCAGCUUAACUGCAAGACAUACAAGUCAAGCAGAGACGAAAGUCGGUCUUAGUGAUCCGGUGGUUCUGUGUGGAAGGGCCAUCGCUCAAAGGAUAAAAGGUACCCCGGGGAUAACAGGCUGAUCUCCCCCAAGAGCUCACAUCGACGGGGAGGUUUGGCACCUCGAUGUCGGCUCAUCGCAUCCUGGGGCUGGAGCAGGUCCCAAGGGUAUGGCUGUUCGCCAUUUAAAGCGGUACGCGAGCUGGGUUCAGAACGUCGUGAGACAGUUCGGUCCCUAUCUGCCGUGGGCGUAAGAAGAUUGAAGAGAUUUGACCCUAGUACGAGAGGACCGGGUUGAACAAACCACUGGUGUAGCUGUUGUUCUGCCAAGAGCAUCGCAGCGUAGCUAAGUUUGGAAAGGAUAAACGCUGAAAGCAUCUAAGCGUGAAGCCAACUCUAAGAUGAAUCUUCUCUAAGCUCUCUAGAAGACUACUAGUUUGAUAGGCUGGGUGUGUAAUGGAUGAAAGUCCUUUAGCUGACCAGUACUAAUAGAGCGUUUGGCUUAUCUUUAAUAAAGCAU